CAAUAUACCUAAUCAGUCUACGCUUUAAUAUUAGUCAUUCGUAGUCAUAACAUCCGUUUGGUUUUUCAGUUUCAUAUUUCACCGAUGUGGCUAAAUGGGAUAAGGAUCGAGCUGAUCAUUGUUUUUUAGAUUAAUAAUUUCGGUUGUUAACGGUGAUUUAUAUCACUCGAGAGUUAAUCGGAAAUAGAGCCCUAAGUGUUUGAAUAGUACACCUACAUCAUUAUUGAAUCCUGCCUUUCAAGUUGAAAUAAAUAUAAGUGGGCUGUAUACUCGUAAUACAUGAAACAUAAAAACAUAAAAUUGUAAUUUGAAAGCUGCUAAAUGGAGAGAAGUAGUCUUAUGGUCUAAGUUUAAAAAAUGUCCGAAUACAAAAGAAGAAAAACAAAAACAGAAGCAUUAGUUUAUUUGGGCCCGCAGUCGUUAACUCUCCACUGCUGAAGAUAAGUCUUCCCUAUAAACAAAGUUUUGCUGGUAGUUGGCGUGCUGUUUUUGCCACGCUUGGCAGGCGAAUUGACAACCGCGAUUUGGCUUUUAAUGGCCCACAGGAAAGAAAAAAGUAGCCUAUUCUAUACCGGACCACAUCUUAGAUAAGUAUUGUUAUAAGCUUAAAUUUUACUUGAAGAAUCAAUUUUCAUGGAGGGUCAACAGCCAGACGGGGUUGCAUACUCUUUGUUCCAAUCCUGUCGACUAGCGAACUAGCGACGCGACGACGUUGCACGACGUGGCAGGACAUUACCCUUCUCAUCUGUUAUUUACCCGUGAACUUACAGUUUUCAUAAAUAAAUAUAAAAUAUACGAUGUAUAUAGGUAAAUAUUUUAAUUUUAUAUAUUCAUCCUGAAGUGGCAUAUAACUUGGCUUCUUUGUAUAUUCUGCCAUCUGUAUAAUGGAUUGUUCUAUUGGAUUAUUUGACAUGAUUCUUAAUG
rnacentral:lncRNA from 1 species